ACAAUUAUACUGUAAGCAAAUUAUCAUGUUCAGAAUCAGUGAUUAUAAAAUAUAAUAAACAUCAGCAUUAAUAGAGAUGAUUAACAGGAGAAUCAUAUUUGCUGCAUAAUUUAAUCAGAUUUUCUGAGACCUCAAACCACAGAAAAUAUUAAUUUAUUAAAUAAUUAUUUUUUUAAUACCUAUGGAAUAACUGAGAAAUGUACUAUUAUAUACAAUUAAUAAUAAAACUGAUAAAAACAAAUAAAAUCACACCCGAAAAACAUGUAAAAAUUACUAAGCACAAUUAGAGUCAUAUAUACAGCAUACUUCUUUUUUAUUUCAAAUUAAUAUUCAACAAACACUGCAAUUAAAUAAUUUAGAAUGUUUAAACUAUUGGUUAAUGUUUCAGGGUUUAAAGGGUUAAAGAGUAAUAUUUAUUAUAAUAAUACAGUAUAUACUGUAUAUAACACUACUGACACAACAACACUUUGAAAUUGGGUAACUUUACAGGCAACAGUUUUUUAAUUUUCAAUAUUACCUUGUUUAAUGAUUAGAAUAUUAAAUAUUAAUUAUAAUUAAAUAUUAAUGAUAAUUUUCAUUAUUAAGUUUAGUUUAAGCACCACCAUUUAGUGAAAUCAAUUCUGGGUUGAUCAUUUGAUCUGAUUAUCUUUAAAAUUCUAUAAAAUGUAAACAUCAGGUUGCUUUCUUAAUUCAAUAAAAUAUAUAAAAUGUAUUAUAAUAUUUGUAGCUUUAGAAGAAGUAAAGUUACUCACUCUUUAUAAUGAGUUUAGUUACUCCACCGAAAGUGUACCACAGUGAUACAUUCCAAUGAAGCCGUCGUACAAAAACCUCUGUUACACUCCAGUGAUGAACCACACACACACACACACACACACACACACACACACACACACACACACACACACACACUCACACACACACACUCACACACACACACACACACACACUCACACUCACACACACACACACUCAGUCCUCUGGAUGUGUAUCAGAUGUAUCCAGUCAGAAUCUGGGUGUAUAAAAUGGUGUGAGUGUAAUAUUGUUCUGUAAUAUUUAGAGUGUUUUCUUUGUUGUGUUUUAGGUUCAGGAGGGGUUCUAGAUAUUUCCAUAGAGAGGUUCCACUUUGCAUUAUCAGCCCAUGCUUCAGUGCUCUGCUAGUGUUUAUAGUCCUGUGAGUUUAACACUUCAUGACUGAGAGCUGCUGCCCAGCAACUUCACCCACAGCAACCAUGACUUUCUUCUCCAUCUUCAUCUGGACUCUCACUCUCUGGAUUCAGGGAUCCAGUGCUCAGGUCACUGUGACUCAAAGUCCAUCAGAAACAACAACUACUUCUGGAACAACAGUUACCAUCAGAUGUAGAACCAACCGUGCAGUCUAUAGCUGGAAUGGGAUGGAUUAUCAAGCCUGGUACCAGCACAAACCCGGAGAAGCUCCUAAACUCCUGAUCUUUGAUGGCAACAGGAAACCAUCAGGUGCUCCGGCUCGUUUCAGUGGUAGUGGAUCUGGAUCUGACUUCACUCUGAUCAUCAGUAACAUCCAGCCUGGAGAUGCAGCAGAUUAUCAUUGUCAUUGUGUUCAUCAGAUGAAUAGCCUGGGUCCGUACACACAGUGUUACAGAGCUGUACAAAAACCCCCUCAGUCACACACUGCACUGCUGCAGCUGCACCUACUGCAGGCAGGGGGCGCCACAACCCACCUCAGACCCUUCCAGCAGAGUCCUGUGAGUGUGGAACUUUCUGGAUUCAUUAAACUGUUCAUCUUCUACUAUUUUUAUUAUUCAUAAUGAACACAGAACCGGUGUUUUUCUCUCAGAUCCAGGAGUGUUUGGUGUUACAGGUUGUGUGAUUGGUUCAUUAUCUCAGGUGACUACUUUGAUUUUAUCACCUUAAUGGCCGAGAAAACUGCAGGUGAAAUUCUGUGACUCUACAAAAGCCCUACUAAAAAGAGAAUAUAUGCACAUUUAAUACAGCACAACUAAUUCUAAUCAAUAAAUAAAUAUAAUGUUUUAAAAGAAACCCAGAAAUAAUACCCCACUCCCUAUAAUAUACUGUAAUAACUAAUAAGUUCACUCACUCAACUCAAAACUUUUGUUGUAAACGAU